GCCCUGGUAGCUCAAUUGGUUAGAGCGUCGGACUUUUACCAAGAUCUAGGUCUACUUGAAGGCAUCCGAAGGCUGCGGGUUCGACCCCCGCCUGGGGCG